rnacentral:tRNA from 1 species
GCAGCGGUAUCGAAGUGGUCAUAACGGGGCUGACUCGAAAUCAGUUUGCAGGUAACACUGCACGUGGGUUCGAAUCCCACCCGCUGCGCCA